GGCGCCGUGUCGUGUCGGCGACCAGCAGCCGGGGCGGCCACCACACCAGAGAACUGCGCGUGGAGGCCAAGGACGGCGCGCCGGCGGCCGAGGCGAGGCUCCGCGGCGGCGGAGGCCGGCAUGGCGCCGUGUCGUGUCGGCGACCAGCAGCCGGGCGGCCGCCGCACCGGAGAACCGCGCGUGGAGGCCGAGGGCGGUGUGAUCUGUUAAGUGGCUGCUCGAUGGCCAGCGGUGCCACCGCCUCCUCUUGAGCUGAGAUCAUGGCCUAGAAGCCGCCCUGCUGCCGCCAGACGACGACGAUGUGGUGGGCAACAUGAACCGCCGGGGACCGUGAUGGCUUGCUGCCGCGCGAGGUUGGGAGGGAGAUGGGUUCGCGGCGCCGCUGUUGGUAUGGAGGUUCCUCUGCCUCCGACGAAGGGACGACAAGUUAAAAAAAGAUGACGGGGAGGUCGGCCACACAGUUUCGAGUGGAGAGGCGGUGUCCUUUUCCCCUCAGGCAGAAGCGGAUGCUGCGAGGACUGAGAUGCCCUUUUCAACGGCGGGUCCGGCGGCAGCCAGCGGUCUUUCUCUCUCCCGCCUCACCUCCUCUCUCUGCCUCUUUCAGCCAACGGCGGUAGCAAGCGUAGGACUCCACAGAAUACCUCGCGGGGAUCUAGAUCUUUGUCGGUGUGUUCUCGACUCCACGACUAACGGCAGGGGCGUCAUCUAGCCGCCGGCGCGUCCUCGACUCUACCAGCUUCGGGCGGCAGAAGGAGGGGAGGCACGCCGCGGCCGAGCAGCAGCAGCUGCCGACCAUGGCUAGGACGGAGAGCAGGUGUCCACGGCUGAGCCUUCUGCUCCUUCCUCCAUUCGUUUCUACCUUCAGUUUCUAUUUCCUAAAUUUGGACAUGGAUUUAGUGAGGAAAAGAAUCACGGGAAUACAGGUGGAUUGGAGAAGUCAGGCGACCAUGAAAGGAAAGAUUGUUUGGACGCACACUCCUAUUUGGUGAAAUGCAGAUUGGAAGAUGGGAGCUUGCCAUCUGAACAGAGUACUUUUACCUCUCACUAUUAAGUUAUUCCUUUUUUCCUAUUCUGCUUUGGAAUAAUUGAGACAAUAUUUCAUCAUUUAUUUGGUGUUUUAUUGAAUGAAGCUUGAUCUUCUCUUCUUAACUGCAAACAUGAUUUUAAAAUCAUAUUGAUACAGUAAAACAGUUCGAGCAUAUUGUGCUUUAAAUCUGUGGUGACAACUAACAGUGAUUACAUACUAAUUAUCAUUGACCUUUUCAACACACCCUUUUGUACAUUGUACUUACUUACCAUGUUAUAAGCCAUAUUUGGGUGAUAAUUGCUGAAACAUUGUUUCCUUAUAGAUACGAGAAUGGAUAUCGAAGAGUGAGACAACUUGCUGAUAAAAUGAUAAAGUACAAUACCUUGAAACCUCCUGGAUUUUCUUUGGAUUGCCAUGUUGUCCCCUUUCACAUAGGGAUUGAUAAUGAAACACUAGACGGUGUUCUUGCACUGGUUUUUUCAUAGUGUAUCUUGGAUGUGGAAUUGGGAGAAUCGCCGUAUUUGCUUUUAGUUCCUAGCCCGCAUCUCUUCCUGUCAUUCCUACGCGCUGUGUGUUAUAGGCUUAGUGGUCACAAAUAUUUGCAGUUUAACAGUCAGUUUCACAACUUUCAUGAAUGCAUCAAAUAAAUUUCAAUGUUGGCAUUAACUUUCUGUUAAGAUGAAUUACCUACUGUACAUUACAAUGGGGGCUGCUGAUAUUAGCUAAUUGUAUUAUUACUUUUGAACCUUGCUUACUGUUAAUUGCAGGUUUUGCAAAGAAAAGGAAAAUAGGGAAUCAAAUAAUGGCUUAGCAUAUAUUUUGUGGAAGGUGAUCCGGGCUACAUAUCUUCAUCUUAUGAACAUGAAAUGUGUGGUCCUGAUGUUGAUAAGCUGGAUAAUGUCCUAUCAGAUGCAUCGAGAGCCUCCAACAUUGUUGCAUUGUUGUACUGUGCUCUCUAAAUUACAUGAAGCUGAAAGAUCAAAUUGGUAGAAGUCAUUUACGUAUUGGUACUACAUAAGCAUGGGCAUGGGUCAUUGAUGCUUGGAAGAAAACACACUCAGGCGCAUUUGUAUAUUUUAUUUAGUUGUUUUGUCAUCCUAUGUCCUACAAAGGAGCUCUUCUCAGUAUAGUUAUAUAUUUUUUCGGUCAUGGUAGUAAUAUUUACAUUUGAUUGCGAGGAAGAUUUAUAAAUUUACCAUUGGUUCUUGCCCUGGGUGGAAGUACUAAAA